rnacentral:rRNA from 1 species
AUGGAUUGCAACAUUAAAAUUCUUUUCUGGAAUGUGCACGGUCUAAAUUCUGGUGCUAAGCAUACGGCCGUUCGAAGCGUGAUCUCCGUUGCCGCCCCCGCCAUCAUGUGUCUGCAAGAGACCAAGCUCGCUCACAUAUCGGGCUCCACUGUCCUCGACACCCUUGGCCCCCUUUUCAAGGAUUUCUACUUCCUUCCAGCCACCGGCACCCGCGGAGGCGUGCUCCUCGCAUGGCAUAGAUCCCACAUCUCCCUCUCCAACCCCCUGAUUGGCGAGCAUCAUAUCACCUUCCUAGUCACGCCCGCCGUCGGUGACGGUCAUUGGUGGCUCACCGGCGUGUACAGACUCCAAGACGACGAGGCCAAACUCGACUUCCUUGCUGACCUUCACGACGUGCGGAUUCACGCAUCAAGCCUUGGCUCCUAG